rnacentral:lncRNA from 1 species
GCUGAAUCCGUCUAUGGCCAAUUCGGAGCCAAACCACCUACCAAUCGGCUGGAAAACACCGCCGAAGUCCAGCGACGCCGCCGCGGCUUACCUUGAUUCUUGCCUCCAAUGAGGCCCUUUCCGAUUCCUGUUCGAUGCAAUUUUUACACCACUGUGAUCACCGUCCUUUUCUCUACAGGUUUACCGCAGCAAAACAUCAAACUGCAACUCGCACCGGAGAAGCCGCUACACCCGAGAGCUCCGCCACCGGUAAGUCUCGGUUUUUCGUGAUUUUUUGGCCCACUGAGGGCCCUAGAGUUG